rnacentral:rRNA from 1 species
GACGAACGCUGGCGGCGUGCUUAACACAUGCAAGUCGAACGGAAAGGCCCUGCUUUUGUGGGGUGCUCGAGUGGCGAACGGGUGAGUAACACGUGAGUAACCUGCCCUUGACUUUGGGAUAACUUCAGGAAACUGGGGCUAAUACCGGAUAGGAGUGCCUGCUGCAUGGUGGGGGUUGGAAUGUGUCGGCGGUUGGGGGUGGACGCGCGUCUUGUCAGCUUGUUGGUGGGGUAGUGGCUUACCAAGGCUUUGACGGGUAGCCGGCCUGAUAGGGUGACCGGCCACAUUGGGACUGAGAUACUGCCCCGCCUCCUACGGGAGGCAGCAGUGCGGAAUAUUGCACUAUGGGCGGAAGCCUGAUGCAGCAGCGCCGCGUGCGGGAUGACGGCCUUCGGGUUGUAACCCGCUUUAGCCUGUGACGAAGCGUGAGUGACGGUAAUGGGUACAGAAGCACCGGCUAACUUCGUG